GCUCCCCGCUGAGCCGCGCUUAGGGUCGGAGUUAGCCAGGCCGGGGGAAAGGGGUGGGAGGGGUCACUACAAGGGAUCCUAGUCCGCAGAGUGAAAAAUUCGUUCGCAAGGGAGCGCCCUUGAGGGGUUAGGGUCGUGAAGAGACACUCGAGAAUUAGGGUCCUGGACUGCUGUGGGGCCGGGCCUGGACUGGAGGCAGGUGUUCCCUGCCGCCCUGGGGCCCUGCAGCACCGAUGGCCGAGAUGAUCUCAGGGCUCAGGCGGAGGAGGGGUCCGCCACAGGCACCUUAGGACCCUGGCGGCCCGAAGGCAUAGGACCUUCAGGAAAGCCUCGGGGGACCUAGCGCCCGGUCACGAUUCCAUUCGGGGCGGGACCUUCCCAGCAGGAGUUGCUGGCCAAGGAAAGAGUCUGGACCUGGGACCUUGUCCCUAAGGACCAGACCACGACCUUGGAGCCCAACUCGCAGUCCUUCUCGGCUAGGGAUGCGGAGGGGUCGGGAGCUCGACGGCCAAGCGACAGGGAAUUCUGAGUUCCUAGAGAUCUACAGGAGGCAGAAGCACGACACUAGAUGAGAUUAGACAGUGACGGCGGAAGGACGGAACCACACGGAGACUGACACACUUUGCGAGUUGGGACUCAAUUGCAUUUCUUCGAAUCCUUGAUUCCGAAGUUUCCCCGCCCUCCUAAGCAAGAGCGUUUGGGGAAACUAAGUUCCUUAGAGUCUUUCAUCCUUGUUAUGUGAGCUCAGGGAGGAAGGCAGACAAUAGCUGCAGCCUAAACACCUGCUAUCUCUCAAUGCAAUAAAAUACAGACGGUGAUUGGAAUCGUUUCUCUUUUUGCUUCCAGAGGGAGCUCAAACCUGAAGCAUCAAGGUUAUCUUUUUCCAAAGUGUUUGUUUGAACCUACGUUCGGUACCUGCGAAGACUAAAACACUUACUUGACCCUCUAGAGACUCAGCUAGAACUGACUGAGCAAAGGGAACUCAGGCAAAGGAAAGGGAAGGUACGGAGGAGAAAACGGUAAGCGGAGGUCUGGAUGGGAUAGUGCGCGGGGACUCCUCUGACCCGGCGGCGGGACCCAGCUGCCGCGCAGGUACAGUCACCAACAGCGCCAGAUCGUUAUUCCAGCCUCCAGAUCCCUGCCUUUUCCCCCCACCGAGCAAAGACAGGUUGGUGUUUGGGGGUGGUGGUGGUUCUUUUAAAAGUAUAUUAAAGGAUCAUUGGCGUCUCCCCGUUAAGUCAUUACGCCUUUAUCCCCAUCAAUUAACCACACCUCAGAGGGCUGCUAUUAAGAGCUCAAAUGAGCUGCAAAAGUAGGUAUCCCGUUUCAGGCAGAUGUUGUUAUCUCCCGCUGAGAGGCGCGGCCGGCGGCGGCGGAUCCUCCGCUUCCCGCGACUGCCGGAGUCGCGCUGGACUAGGCUGACCGCGCAGGGCGGCGAGGCUGGAAGGGAGGUCGCCGCCCGACAAUGAGCGGGUGCCAGAGGAGCCAGAAGGAGUGAGAAGUGCCCUAGACCCGUGGCCUCAAGCGCCAUGCACUUCAAGGGGACGUGUCUCCGGAGUUGUGCCAGGAAGAACACCAAGAACGAGCUGUGCGUUUUUGCGCAGAGAAGUAGUCUUCGCAAGACCGCAGCUCCCUGCCGAAGGCCCAGAAAGGGAGUGCGGGGGAGAGAGCAAACUAUCACUCCCGAUGACUUGGGGCACGACUGUCACACGCAACUGGGAGAUCCUGGAAGACGGCGGAAAAACGAACAAGGGGAGAUGGCCCUCACUGCAGUGACAGGGUUUUCCUUCAGUCAGUGGCCACAAUAAAUUUAGCCAAGGCUAAAGGAGAUUAAUUUCCCAGCAUAAUCCAAUUAAAAGAUUUCUAAAGUAAUCUUUUGCGAAAAUGAAAAGUGCGCGACUAAAGAGGGGACCGGUUUUGAUGACAGUGAUUUAUCGCCUCAGCACAGCACGCACGGGAUGGUCUCUCUCCAAGUGAUUUGACCAGAGCACUCCGUCCUCGCCUCCUGUCCAAACCUUCCCUUCCUGAAAGACAGCCAUCUAUCACUCCAACCUGGGCAGGAGAGAAUGUGCAAGGGGCUGGGGCGGCUUACAAGCACCAUAGACUUUUUUAAGUGCUAUUAGAUUUAUGGUCUCUUUUUCGACGCCCAUCCAGAGUAAUUAGCACAUAUGUUCUAAAUAGAUGAUAGUUUUGUGAGCAAUAAAGCAAUUACCCAUCGUUGGAGCUGACAGUUCCUCCAACUAAACUCCAACCAGCAGCUAAUUGGAAAAGUCAUUUCAGCUCCAUUGUCUGCAAUUAGUCCUGCUAAACUACUACACCCCAACUAGCUGGUUUGAGGUUAAUUUAUUCAAUGUUGUGUUUGCAUGGACAAGCCUUUGCCAUGAAGGGACUUGCCUUUUGCCCCUCUGGACUGCGCCCAGGGGCUAGAAGAGCAGAUGGGAGUGAGCAGCCAAUAUCUGGGGGCCGGGAUGGCCCCCGGGGGAGGAGGCACCCGACUGGGCCUCAGCUUCAAGGUUAGUUGUCCAGUGGCUGAAAGCCUACAGAGAAAACCAUUGUUUCUCCUGCUAGACAGUAACCGGAGAAAACUGCUCAGUUCAUGCUACCAAAACCUUUAUUUAAAAAAAUAGAAAUUGUCACCACAGAGAAAGCCACUGUGUUCUCAAUUUGCCCCUUGCCCACACAUCCAGUCAUGACCCUGGGCCACCACACCGUCCCUAAGGAAUAAACAUAGAGUCAGACCGCCAAAACAGAAAAGUUCUGAGCCCUGAGGGAGUGGGGGACAGGAUCCAAUUCUGGGAGUGAUUCGAGGAAAGAAAAGACAGGAAAGGUCAGGAAGCCCAACCUCUGCCUCAGCCUCUCUGAGUUUAAAACCACUUCCCCCUUGAAAGCGGGGUUUCUCUGUGACUUUCUUUGAUUUUUUCCCCUUCCUUUCUUAUAUUUUUUUCUUCCUUUCUUUCUAAAAGUUAAGCCCAACAGGUCCAGGAUUUGUGCACAGUGAGUGGAAAAAAUGUGUUAAACGUCUGUUUGACGCCCCACCGGAGCUUCCAAAUAUCCAGCGGCUGGGAUUCUUCUACUUAAUUUAAUCUUUAUUGGACAGGGCGGCUCCUAUGCUCCUAUUCACUAGGAAACCCGGGGAAACGUAUCCGUUGGGGUUCAGAAUUGAGGGUGGGAAGGAGAGGAGUUAAAGAGGGAUUAAUCCUCCCCCACCCAACUUCAAACUUUAGAACUGCAAUCGCCUGCAGCCUGGGGGGGUGUCCCCCAAGUCCCAGCCCUGACAGCUCCAGCUCUGGGAUCUGGAGCCAGAGGAAGAGAGGUUGGCAGGUUGAGAUGGGAACUUGUAGCCCUGGUAACCGUGUAUUCCCUUGAUGGAAUUUUACAUUAAAGUGUCCCAAGCUCUGGGAGCAAUGAGAAUUUUACUUAGAAGAACAUGGGGUAGGGAGCAUCCACCUCUUAGGUAAAGCCCAGUGCUUUCAGUCCUAGAAAUCCAAUGUCCUUUUCUGGAUUAUCAUUCAUAUUAAAUGUCCUGGGAGAUGUUUUUCUUUUUGAAGUAAAUACUAUAACAAUGCCUAAGGAAGACAACUUGGACAUUUUAAUCAGCAUAUGAGACUUAUUAAUUCCCAUCUCAAAAAAUUAUGAUUAAUUCCUCAGCUUCAAGAAUUUGGAGACAUGUGUCUAUAGCAUGUAAAACUUUUAAACUGCCUAAUGUCAGGCUCUUAUUUUCCACUAUUUAUUGUAUUUUAACCAAUUUAACUCCAAACAAAAAGAAAAAAUUGUGGGGAGAAAUUGAAAGUAAAGGUCUUGUCUUGCCCCAUUACCUCCCACCUGUCACACACUCUCCUCCCCCGAAGAGAAAUCCUCCUGUCACUGUGACUUCCAGUUGAAAACAGAAAGGAAAUAAGAUGACUUCUGGAAAAAGCUGUCCAUUGUGUUUUUAAUUUUUUUUUUUCGGUACUUAAAUAUGCCCAGAGAGUGACGGCAUGAAAAAGCUGAAUGAAGAGUCAGCUGAAAGUAUCACCUAGACUUGCUUGUUAGAGAAUUCUAAGGUAGACAUGUGUGCAUACUUACGCGUAAGGGCAAAAUAACCCACCUAAUCACCUAAUCCCAUGUAUGGGAAAUAUUUAUGUAUAUAUCCAUGAACUGAAAAAUCUUUAAGUACAUGUGUGCAGAGAUUCAGUUCUAUGAAAGCUCAGCUAGCUGUCCGCAUGCAUGUAUUCACUCCUGGAGUAAAGGCAUUUUUGUUGCUCCCAUAGUUUCUUUCCAUUAAGAGCGAUUAGAUGAUGUCUAUUCAAAGUUGCUGAUCCAGAGAGAAAAUAAGAGUAGAUAAAAGGAGAUUUCAAGUGACCUCCUCGUCCCUUUCACACCAACCUGAGCCCUAGAAUAGCCAAGGAUCAACUAACACAAAAGCCCUUUCCUUUCUCUUUUCAGCUUCAGAAGAUUUUAUGCAGGGGGGUAACAAUAAAACAUAGAACGAUCCCCGAGUUUUGUUAGAUCAUGCAUUUGGAAUACUUUAUUAACUCCCCCCAAAGAUGGGCUAGGUUUAUGUUCCACCUUUGAAAUGGGUAAAUAAAAUAUACAUAGCAUAAUUGUUUACUGUUCUAUUGCUUAUAUCAGUGUUGUACUAUGCUUGUGCUUUUUUUUUUUUUAAACUUUACCUAAACCCCUCUCUCCUCAAUGAUGGAGGACAUUGUAAUAAAUAUAUCUUUCCACUGACA